rnacentral:rRNA from 1 species
GACGAACGCUGGCGGCGUGCCUAAUACAUGCAAGUAGAACGCACAGUUUAUACCGUAGCUUGCUACACCAUAGACUGUGAGUUGCGAACGGGUGAGUAACGCGUAGGUAACCUGCCUGGUAGCGGGGGAUAACUAUUGGAAACGAUAGCUAAUACCGCAUAAUAUUAAUUAUUGCAUGAUAAUUAAUUGAAAGGUGCAAUUGCACCACUACCAGAUGGACCUGCGUUGUAUUAGCUAGUAGGUGAGGUAACGGCUCACCUAGGCGACGAUACAUAGCCGACCUGAGAGGGUGAUCGGCCACACUGGGACUGAGACACGGCCCAGACUCCUACGGGAGGCAGCAGUAGGGAAUCUUCGGCAAUGGACGAAAGUCUGACCGAGCAACGCCGCGUGAGUGAAGAUGGUUUUCGGAUCGUAAAGCUCUGUUGUAAGAGAAGAACGGGUGUGAGAGUGGAAAGUUCACACUGUGACGGUAUCUUACCAGAAAGGGACGGCUAACUACGUG